AAGUCGUAACAAGGUUUCCGUAGGUGAACCUGCGGAAGGAUCAUUAUUCUCUCGAAUAACGAGUCGGGGGUCGAACAGUGGCUUGCUGCUGUUUCCCCGCCUUCAUCCUUGUCUUUUGAGUACUUCAUCGUUUCCUCGGUAGAUUUCUCUACCGAAUGGAUUACAAAACCAACCUUUUUUAAUGCAAUUGCAGUCAGCGUCUGAAUAAAUAUCAAUAUUUACAACUUUCAACAACGGAUCUCUUGGUUCUG
rnacentral:misc_RNA from 1 species